GUGGGGAAUAUUGGACAAUGGGCGCAAGCCUGAUCCAGCCAUGCCGCGUGAGUGAUGAAGGCCCUAGGGUUGUAAAGCUCUUUCACCGGAGAAGAUAAUGACGGUAUCCGGAGAAGAAGCCCCGGCUAACUUCGUGCCAGCAGCCGCGGUAAUACGAAGGGGGCUAGCGUUGUUCGGAAUUACUGGGCGUAAAGCGCACGUAGGCGGACAUUUAAGUCAGGGGUGAAAUCCCGGAGCUCAACUCCGGAACUGCCUUUGAUACUGGGUGUCUGGAGUAUGGAAGAGGUGAGUGGAAUUCCGAGUGUAGAGGUGAAAUGCGUAGAUAUUCGGAAGAACACCAGUGGCGAAGGCGGCUCACUGGUCCAUUACUGACGCUGAGGUGCGAAAGCGUGGGGAGCAAACAGGAUUAGAAACCCGGGUAGUCC
rnacentral:rRNA from 1 species